GCGGAGGCGACAGGACCGAGGGGCUUUAGUUGGUGGGCAAGUCGGAGAGCCCAGAAAGAGAAGCGUGACCCGGAAGCGGAAGCGGGUGUCCGUCCCAGCUCCGGCCUGCCAGUGAGCUUCUACCGCCAUGGACCUGUUGUUCGGGCGCCGGAAGACGCCAGAGGAGCUACUGCGGCAGAACCAGAGGGCCCUGAACCGUGCCAUGCGGGAGCUGGACCGCGAGCGGCAGAAACUAGAGACCCAGGAGAAGAAAAUCAUUGCAGACAUCAAGAAGAUGGCCAAGCAAGGCCAGAUGGUGAGUGUGGGUGGUGAGGGGCAGGUUGCUGUCAAUCAGGCACGGCGGUAACAGCAGUGAACAAGAGAGACCAGACACCAAACACAGGUGCUUUCAGCAAAACGAGUGGAGUGAAAGGUCAGCAGGGCAUCCCUAGUUUGAGGGUCUGGAAGGCUGCCCCCAAGGAACUGGUAUGAGAUCCAAGGCUUGAGUGAUGGGAGUGAGCCUACAGAUCUGGGCAGGGAAUGUGUCAAGCAGACAGAGCAGCAAAUGUCAAAAGAGCCUCGACAAAAUGGGAGAUGACAGGUGAGCUUCAAG
rnacentral:sRNA from 1 species